rnacentral:rRNA from 1 species
GAUGAACGCUGGCGGCGUGCCUAAUACAUGCAAGUCGAGCGAACGGACGAGAAGCUUGCUUCUCUGAUGUUAGCGGCGGACGGGUGAUUAACACGUGGAUAACCUACCUAUAAGACUGGGAUAACUUCGGGAAACCGGAGCUAAUACCGGAUGAUAUUUUGAACCGCAUGGUUCAAAAGUGAAAGACGGUCUUGCUGUCACUUAUAGAUGGAUCCGCGCUGCAUUAGCUAGUUGGUAAGGUAACGGCUUACCAAGGCAACGAUGCAUAGCCGACCUGAGAGGGUGAUCGGCCACACUGGAACUGAGACACGGUCCAGACUCCUACGGGAGGCAGCAGUAGGGAAUCUUCCGCAAUGGGCGAAAGCCUGACGGAGCAACGCCGCGUGAGUGAUGAAGGUCUUCGGAUCGUAAAACUCUGUUAUUAGGGAAGAACAUAUGUGUAAGUAACUGUGCACAUCUUGACGGUACCUAAUCAGAAAGCCACGGCUAACUACGUG